UUAAGCGACUAAGCGUACACGGUGGAUGCCCUGGCAGUCAGAGGCGAUGAAGGACGUGCUAAUCUGCGAAAAGCGUCGGUAAGGUGAUAUGAACCGUUAUAACCGGCGAUGUCCGAAUGGGGAAACCCAGUGCAAUUCGUUGCACUAUCGUUAACUGAAUACAUAGGUUAACGAGGCGAACCGGGGGAACUGAAACAUCUAAGUACCCCGAGGAAAAGAAAUCAACCGAGAUUCCCCCAGUAGCGGCGAGCGAACGGGGAGCAGCCCAGAGUCUGAAUCAGCUUGUGUGUUAGUGGAACGGUCUGGAAAGUCCGACGGUACAGGGUGAUAGUCCCGUACACCAAAAUGCACAGGCUGUGAACUCGAAGAGUAGGGCGGGACACGUGGUAUCCUGUCUGAAUAUGGGGGGACCAUCCUCCAAGGCUAAAUACUCCUGACUGACCGAUAGUGAACCAGUACCGUGAGGGAAAGGCGAAAAGAACCCCGGCGAGGGGAGUGAAAAAGAACCUGAAACCGUGUACGUACAAGCAGUGGGAGCACCUUCGGGUGUGACUGCGUACCUUUUGUAUAAUGGGUCAGCGACUUAUAUUCUGUAGCAAGGUUAACCGUAUAGGGGAGCCGCAGGGAAACCGAGUCUUAACUGGGCGUUAAGUUGCAGGGUAUAGACCCGAAACCCGGUGAUCUAGCCAUGGGCAGGUUGAAGGUUGGGUAACACUAACUGGAGGACCGAACCGACUAAUGUUGAAAAAUUAGCGGAUGACUUGUGGCUGGGGGUGAAAGGCCAAUCAAACCGGGAGAUAGCUGGUUCUCCCCGAAAGCUAUUUAGGUAGCGCCUCGUGAACUCAUCUUCGGGGGUAGAGCACUGUUUCGGCUAGGGGGUCAUCCCGACUUACCAACCCGAUGCAAACUACGAAUACCGAAGAAUGUUAUCACGGGAGACACACGGCGGGUGCUAACGUCCGUCGUGAAGAGGGAAACAACCCAGACCGCCAGCUAAGGUCCCAAAGUCAUGGUUAAGUGGGAAACGAUGUGGGAAGGCACAGACAGCCAGGAUGUUGGCUUAGAAGCAGCCAUCAUUUAAAGAAAGCGUAAUAGCUCACUGGUCGAGUCGGCCUGCGCGGAAGAUGUAACGGGGCUAAACCAUGCACCGAAGCUGCGGCAGCGACACUAUGUGUUGUUGGGUAGGGGAGCGUUCUGUAAGCCGUUGAAGGUGUGCUGUGAGGCAUGCUGGAGGUAUCAGAAGUGCGAAUGCUGACAUAAGUAACGAUAAAGCGGGUGAAAAGCCCGCUCGCCGGAAGACCAAGGGUUCCUGUCCAACGUUAAUCGGGGCAGGGUGAGUCGACCCCUAAGGCGAGGCCGAAAGGCGUAGUCGAUGGGAAACAGGUUAAUAUUCCUGUACUUGGUGUUACUGCGAAGGGGGGACGGAGAAGGCUAUGUUAGCCGGGCGACGGUUGUCCCGGUUUAAGCAUGUAGGCGGAGGUUCCAGGUAAAUCCGGUACCUUUUAACGCUGAGGUGUGAUGACGAGGCACUACGGUGCUGAAGUAACAAAUGCCCUGCUUCCAGGAAAAGCCUCUAAGCAUCAGGUAACAUUAAAUCGUACCCCAAACCGACACAGGUGGUCAGGUAGAGAAUACCAAGGCGCUUGAGAGAACUCGGGUGAAGGAACUAGGCAAAAUGGUGCCGUAACUUCGGGAGAAGGCACGCUGAUAUGUAGGUGAAGCCCCUGCGGGCGGAGCUGAAAUCAGUCGAAGAUACCAGCUGGCUGCAACUGUUUAUUAAAAACACAGCACUGUGCAAACACGAAAGUGGACGUAUACGGUGUGACGCCUGCCCGGUGCCGGAAGGUUAAUUGAUGGGGUUAGCGGCAACGCGAAGCUCUUGAUCGAAGCCCCGGUAAACGGCGGCCGUAACUAUAACGGUCCUAAGGUAGCGAAAUUCCUUGUCGGGUAAGUUCCGACCUGCACGAAUGGCGUAAUGAUGGCCAGGCUGUCUCCACCCGAGACUCAGUGAAAUUGAACUCGCUGUGAAGAUGCAGUGUACCCGCGGCAAGACGGAAAGACCCCGUGAACCUUUACUAUAGCUUGACACUGAACAUUGAGCCUUGAUGUGUAGGAUAGGUGGGAGGCUUUGAAGCGUGGACGCCAGUCUGCGUGGAGCCAACCUUGAAAUACCACCCUUUAAUGGCUGGUGUUCUAACGUAGACCCGUAAUCCGGGUUGCGGACAGUGUCUGGUGGGUAGUUUGACUGGGGCGGUCUCCUCCCAAAGAGUAACGGAGGAGCACGAAGGUUAGCUAAUCCUGGUCGGACAUCAGGAGGUUAGUGCAAUGGCAUAAGCUAGCUUGACUGCGAGCGUGACGGCGCGAGCAGGUGCGAAAGCAGGUCAUAGUGAUCCGGUGGUUCUGAAUGGAAGGGCCAUCGCUCAACGGAUAAAAGGUACUCCGGGGAUAACAGGCUGAUACCGCCCAAGAGUUCAUAUCGACGGCGGUGUUUGGCACCUCGAUGUCGGCUCAUC
rnacentral:rRNA from 1 species